rnacentral:rRNA from 1 species
GAUCAUGGCUACAGAACGAACGCUGGCGGCGCGCCUAAUACAUGCAAGUCGAGCGAGAAGGUGUAGCAAUUACACUUGUAAAGCGGCGAACGGGUGAGGAAUGCAUGGGUAACCUACCCUCGAGUGGGGAUAACUAGCCGAAAGGUUAGCUAAUACCGCAUACGUUUCCGGAACUUCGGUUUCGGAAAGAAAGCAAUACCGUGGGUAUUGCGCUCCUGGAUGGGCUCAUGUCCUAUCAGCUUGUUGGUGAGGUAACGGCUCACCAAGGCUUCGACGGGUAGCUGGUCUGAGAGGACGAUCAGCCACACUGGCACUGCGACACGGGCCAGACUCCUACGGGAGGCAGCAGUAAGGAAUAUUGCGCAAUGGACGAAAGUCUGACGCAGCGACGCCGCGUGGGGGAUGAAGGUCUUCGGAUUGUAAACCCCUUUCGGGAGGGAAGAUGGAGUGGGUAACCACUUGGACGGUACCUCCAGAAGCAGCCACGGCUAACUUCGUG